GAUGAACGCUAGCGGCAGGCCUAACACAUGCAAGUCGAGGGGCAUCGCGGUGCAGCAAUGCACUGGCGGCGACCGGCGUACGGGUGCGUAACGCGUAUGCAACCUGCCCCCGCACCGGGGGAUAGCCCGCCGAAAGGCGGAUUAAUACCCCAUGGUCCCGGGGGCCCGCAUGGGCAUCCGGGUAAAGCCUUGGCGGUGCGGGAUGGGCAUGCGUGCCAUUAGCUGGCUGGUGGGGUAACGGCCCACCAGGGCAACGAUGGCUAGGGGGUCUGAGAGGAUGGGUCCCCCACACUGGUACUGAGACACGGACCAGACUCCUACGGGAGGCAGCAGUGAGGAAUAUUGGUCAAUGGGCGGAAGCCUGAACCAGCCAUGCCGCGUGCGGGAUGAAGGCCCUACGGGUUGUAAACCCGCUUUUCCCCGGGAAGAACUAAGCCCCCCGCGGGGGUGAUGCCGGUACCGGGGAAUAAGGAUCGGCUAACUCCGUGC
rnacentral:rRNA from 1 species